rnacentral:misc_RNA from 1 species
GAUGAAGAACGCAGCGAACUGCGAUAAGUAAUGUGAAUUGCAGAAUUCAGUGAAUCAUCGAGUCUUUGAACGCACAUUGCGCCCCCUGGCAUUCCGGGGGGCAUGCCUGUCCGAGCGUCAUUGCUGCCCUUCAAGCCCGGCUUGUGUGUUGGGUCGUCGUCCCCCCCGGGGGACGGGCCCGAAAGGCAGCGGCGGCACCGCGUCCGGUCCUCGAGCGUAUGGGGCUUUGUCACCCACUCGAUUAGGGCCGGCCGGGCGCCAGCCGGCGUCUCCAACCUUCUAUUUUACCAGGUUGACCUCGGAUCAGGUAGGGAUACCCGCUGAACUUAAGCAUAUCAAUAAGCGGAGGA